rnacentral:rRNA from 1 species
CCUGCCGGCGACCGGCGCACGGGUGAGUAACACGUAUGCGACCUGCCCCCCGCAGGGGGAUAACCGGGAGAAAUCCCGACUAAUACCGCGUAACGCCGCGGACCUGCAUGGGUCUGCGGCCAAAGGAAGCGAUUCCGGCGGGGGAUGGGCAUGCGGCGCAUUAGCUAGUCGGCGGGGUAACGGCCCACCGAGGCGACGAUGCGUAGGGGUUCUGAGAGGAAGGUCCCCCACACUGGUACUGAGACACGGACCAGACUCCUACGGGAGGCAGCAG